GUGCAUUCUGACGAAGACAACAAAAGGUAAUCAAACUUUUAUAAUAGUAAAUCUGAUUUUGGUGAAGGCUAAACUUGCCAGGUGUCUAAAUAGCUAGCCCGUGAUGGCUGGGCUAUGUACUUAGAAUAUUGCAAAAUGUGCUUUCACCAAAAAGCUAUUUUAAAAUCGGACAUAUCGAGUGCAUAGAGGAGUUCUGUAUCUAUAAUUUUUAAAAUAAUUGUUAUGCUUUUUGUGAACGUUUAUCGUGAGUAAUUUAGUAAAUUGUUAGUAAAUUCCCCGGAAGUUUGCGGGGGGUAUGCUAGUUCUGAACGUCACAUGCUAAUGUAAAAAGCUGUUUUUUGAUAUAAAUAUGAACUUGAUUGAACAAAACAUGCAUGUAUUGUAUAACAUAAUGUCCUAGGAUUGUCAUCUGAUGAAGAUCAUCAAAGGUUAGUGCUGCAUUUAGCUGUCUUCUGGGUUUUUGUGACAUUAUAUGCUAGCUUGAAAAAUGGGUGUCUGAUUAUUUCUGGCUGGGUACUCUGCUGACAUAAUCUAAUGUUUUGCUUUCAUUCUAAAGCCUUUUUGAAAUCGGACAGUGUGGUUAGAUUAACGAGAGUCUUGUCUUUAAAUAGCUGUAAAAUAGUCAUAUGUUUGAGAAAUUGAAGUAAUAGGAUUUUUAAGGUAUUUGAAAAUCGCGCCACAGGAUUCAACUGGCUGUUACGUAGGUGGGACGAAUUCGUCCCACCUGCCCUAGAGAGGUUAACAAAGUUUAGCAGUAGCUUUUUGGAUUCCUUUCUCUACAUGUUGAACAAGUGGAUUACUCAAAUCGAUGGCGCCAACUAAACAGACUUUUUUGGGAUAUAAAUAAGGAUUUUAUCCAACAAAAUGACCAUGCAUGUUGUAGCUAGGACCCUUGGGAUUGCAAAUCAGAGGAUGAUUUUCAAAAAGUAAGUGAAUAUUUGAUCGCUAUUUGUGAUUUUACGACGCCUGUGCUGGUUGAAAAAUAUCUUGAUGUGGGACGCCGUCCUCAAACAAUCGCAUGGCAUGCUUCGCUGUAAAGCCUAUUGUAAAUCGGACAAUGCAGUUAGAUUAACAAGAAUUUAAGCUUUUAACCCAUAUAAGUUGUCGGCAGGUGUCCCGUUGACGGGACGCCUAGCCCUUGAACAGUUAAUCAAAUUGCUAACAGGACUAUUCGCAUUGUCCCCACCCCCCAUUUUUACGCUGCUUCUACUCUCUGUUUAUUAUCCAUGCAUAGUCACUUCACCUCUACCUACAUGUACAUAUUACCUCGACUUACCGGUAUGUAUAUAGCCUCGCUACUGUUAUUCUGUUUUUGCUCCUUAAUUAUAUUUAUAUUUUUUAUUCUUCUUAAAACUACAUUGUUGGUUAAGGGCUGGUAAGUAAGCAUUUCACUGUAAGGUUGUAUUCGGCGCAGGUGACAAAUACAAUUUGAUUUGAUUUGAACUAGCUGUUGUGUGUCUCUGUGAAAAAGACUUAGCUAACCAUUUAUACACAGCCUAUUUAUUUAUAGGCUACUAGCUAGUCAUGUGAUGUGUUUGCUUGAUAGCUACUUGAAUUGAGAGUGCGUGCUCUGUGUAGGGGCCACGGAGGUGCAGCACUGCAGUGUUUGAAGACUUUCUAUGUCCGAGGGGAUCGGAGAGCUGGGAUAGUUCAAGGUGACAAUGGAGAAGGCCAGUCACGUGGAGCAUACUGCUGCACGCACAAAGCCAUGGAGCUACUGACAACACUCCCUGUGGUACAGCCAUCACUGGUAAGACAGGAGAAAAAGGGGAGGGGGGAGGUGAAGAGGGAGAGAGGCGAGGGACACAGGUGGAGUAGGAAGUUUGAGAUUGGGAGAGUCUGAGAUUUGGACUUUCUAAGUGUGUGUUUACUGUUUCUGUUUCUCUUUCCAAACAGCCUACCAGUCUAUGAAUCUGGAGACACUGGAGGUGUUUGGGGUGGAGAGGACGGUGGACUCAGUGGAGGACAUCCCAGCCACGUGGCAGUGAGGGAGUUUGAUUAAUCUCACCUUGUUGCCCGUGUAGGUGUGUUUUGCACUGGCUGAAAGUUGAUUGUAUUCCAUUUGAAACCAGGCUGCCCCCAGGGCAUGAGCCAGGUCCCCCGCUCUGGCCGACGUUGAAGUCGGCUCAAAACAAAAGUGACGUAGGUUAAGCACAUGGAGUAAUGAGUAGGUUUCUGUGUCUUCACAUGCAACAGUGAUUGCUUUUGAUAAAAACCCUUUAUCUGCCAUUCCAAUGAAAACUAGUUAGAAAAUCUGAACAUAUAUUGAUGGUAAAGAUAUGCUGUAUAUGUUUCUGAACAAUGCUGCCUUGUUGAUAACAUGAACGAGUGAUGCAGAUUACUGUUCGAUUUCAGAAGGACGCUCCUCCCUCAGCGCUUUUGCCCGUUCACGUCACGGCGGUUCAGAUUAAUAGACCUCCCUCAGUUUUGGCACUGCUACAUCCUACCUGAUGGGUAAGAGGGGACACACACACACACACACACACACACACACACACACACACACACACACACACACACACACACACACACACACACACACACACACACACACACACACACACACACACACACACGCAGGACAGAAGUGUUCCCCUGUUUGUAUGUCAGAGGUGAGGGAUGAUAAGCCAGUGUUUGAGAAGAGGCGUCUGGUGUGUAAGGAGGACAUGCAGAUGCACUCCAAUUUCCUGAACAGAAAGGGGACAUAUAAAGUAUUUCCCUACACCAUGAGUCCGGCGUCAGGCAUCAGGCUCCUGUCAGGCUAUGCUGAUGAGCCGGAAUUUACGAUUUUGUGUCACUGGACUACACGCACUACCCCA
rnacentral:lncRNA from 1 species